GACGAACGCUGGCGGCGUGCUUAACACAUGCAAGUCGAACGGAAAGGCACUGCUUUUGUGGUGUGCUCGAGUGGCGAACGGGUGCGUAACACGUGAGUAACCUGCCCUUGACUUUGGGAUAACUUCAGGAAACUGGGGCUAAUACCGGAUAGGAGCUCCUGCUGCAUGGUGGGGGUUGGAAAGUUUCGGCGGUUGGGGUUGGACUCGCGGCUUAUCAGCUUGUUGGUGGGGUAGUGGCUUACCAAGGCUUUGACCGGUAGCCGGCCUGAGAGGGUGACCGGCCACAUGGGGACUGAGAUACGGCCCAGACUCCUACGGGAGGCAGCAGUGGGGAAUAUUGCACAAUGGGCGGAAGCCUGAGGCAGCAACGCCGCGGGCGGGAUGACGGCCUUCGGGUUGUAAACCGCUGUCGCCUGUGACGAAGCGUGAGUGACGGUAAUGGGUAAAGAAGCACCGGCUAACUACGUG
rnacentral:rRNA from 1 species